AAGCAGCGAUGCGCCUUCGAGAGCAGCCUGCGUCCGAUUAGCUUGUUGGUGGGGUAAAGGCUUACCAAGGCGACGAUCGGUAGCUGUGCUGAGAGGACGAUCAGCCACACUGGGACUGAGACACGGCCCAGACUCCUACGGGAGGCAGCAGUGGGGAAUAUUGGACAAUGGGCGCACGUNGAUCCAGCAAUUCCGCGUGGGUGAAGAAGGUCUUCGGAUUGUAAAGCCCUUUCGACGGGGACGAUGAUGACGGUACCCGUAGAAGAAGCCCCGGCUAACUUCGUGCCAGCAGCCGCGGUAAUACGAAGGGGGCUAGCGUUGCUCGGAAUUACUGGGCGUAAAGGGCGC
rnacentral:rRNA from 1 species